rnacentral:rRNA from 1 species
AUGAACGCUGGCGGCGUGCCUAAUACACGCAAGUCGAGCGAACGGACGAGAAGCUUGCUUCUCUGAUGUUAGCGGCGGACGGGGGAGUAACACGUGGAUAACCUACCUAUAAGACUGGGAUAACUUCGGGAAACCGGAGCUAAUACCGGAUAAUAUUUUGAACCGCAUGGUUCAAAAGUGAAAGACGGUCUUGCUGUCACUUAUAGAUGGAUCCGCGCUGCAUUAGCUAGUUGGUAAGGUAACGGCUUACCAAGGCAACGAUGCAUAGCCGACCUGAGAGGGUGAUCGGCCACACUGGAACUGAGACACGGUCCAGACUCCUACGGGAGGCAGCAGUAGGGAAUCUUCCGCAAUGGGCGAAAGCCUGACGGAGCAACGCCGCGUGAGUGAUGAAGGUCUUCGGAUCGUAAAACUCUGUUAUUAGGGAAGAACAUAUGUGUAAGUAACUGUGCACAUCUUGACGGUACCUAAUCAGAAAGCCACGGCUAACUACGUG